AGAGUUUGAUCCUGGCUCAGAGUGAACGCUGGCGGCGUGCCUAACACAUGCAAGUCGAACGAGAACGGAUUACAGCUUGCUGUAAUUGUCAGCUAAGUGGCGCACGGGUGAGUAAUAUAUAGUUAAUCUGCCCCAAAGAAGAGAAUAAUUGUUGGAAACGACUUGUAAUGCUCUAUAUGCCUUUAAGACAUAAGUCUGCAAGGGAAAUAUUUAUAGCUUUGGGAUGAGACUGUACGGUAUCAGCUAGUUGGUGAGGUAAUGGCUCACCAAGGCUAUGACAUCUAACUGGUUUGAGAGGAUGAUCAGUCACACUGGAACUGAGACGCGGUCCAGACUCCUACGGGAGGCAGCAGUGGGGAAUAUUGCACAAUGGAGGAAACUCUGAUGCAGCAACGCCGCGUGGAGGAUGACACAUUUCGGUGCGUAAACUCCUUUUAUAUGAGAAGAUAAUGACGGUA
rnacentral:rRNA from 1 species